UGCUACACAUGCAGUCGACGGGAUCCAUCAGGCUUUGCUUGGUGGUGAGAGUGGCGAACGGGUGAGUAAUGCGUGACCGACCUGCCCCAUACACCGGAAUAGCUCCUGGAAACGGGUGGUAAUGCCGGAUGCUCCAGUUGAUCGCAUGGUCUUCUGGGAAAGCUUUCGCGGUAUGGGAUGGGGUCGCGUCCUAUCAGCUUGACGGCGGGGUAACGGCCCACCGUGGCUUCGACGGGUAGCCGGCCUGAGAGGGCGACCGGCCACAUUGGGACUGAGAUACGGCCCAGACUCCUACGGGAGGCAGCAGUGGGGAAUAUUGCACAAUGGGCGCAAGCCUGAUGCAGCGACGCCGCGUGAGGGAUGGAGGCCUUCGGGUUGUAAACCUCUUUUAUCGGGGAGCAAGCGAGAGUGAGUUUACCCGUUGAAUAAGCACCGGCUAACUACGUGCCAGCAGCCGCGGUAAAAAUUU
rnacentral:rRNA from 1 species